CAGUCGCCACGGUAAUACGAAGGGUGCAAGCGUUACUCGGAAUUACUGGGCGUAAAGCGUGCGUAGGUGGUGGUUUAAGUCCGUUGUGAAAGCCCUGGGCUCAACCUGGGAAUUGCAGUGGAUACUGGGUCACUAGAGUGUGGUAGAGGAUAGUGGAAUUUCCGGUGUAGCAGUGAAAUGCGUAGAGAUCGGAAGGAACAUCUGUGGCGAAGGCGACUAUCUGGGCCAACACUGACACUGAGGCACGAAAGCGUGGGGAGCAAACAGGAUUAGAUACCCCUGUAGUCCCUGUCUCUUUACC
rnacentral:rRNA from 1 species